CGACAUCUAUUGGUUUCUCGUGACUUUUUAUUUUCGCGUUGUUUUCGUGCGAAUGUGUCAUAUCUGUUUACUGAACACUUUGAGUCUGUUUUUUGCGUCAUGCGUUGUGACGUUUUGCAAGUGCGCUCUUAUUUAGCUUUCUUGCUAAGCCUUCUUCUGGACAACUUGAGUUGUUUGGGCAAAAACAUUCGGCAUCAUCGAGACCAUUCUAUAAUUCCACGACCUCGUGAUCCACGUUGAUACACUGGAUUCAUUUUUAAUAUCCUCACCAAACACUAACGUCGAGAUUGAAAAAUUGUUGCGAACUGAUGUGAUGUGUAAAUAACAUCAUGGUAAAACAUGCCAUGUCGUGUUUCUGCCUUCAAUUCAUGAAUUCUCUGACCCCGAAUAUUUAUCCAUCCUCUUAAAAAAACUGUCAAAUAUUUUCCUAUCAUGCUUAUCUUUAAUUCAAAUAAUGUCGGACCAUUUUGAUGACCAAAUAUCAAACAAUUUUGAGCAUGUCAAUUGUAUUUUAAAAGAACUUUUUUUGACUUCAGCAGAUUCAGGUGUAGAUUCAAAUGGAUUUUUAUUUGUUUUAUUUACUCUCACCUCAUUUGGUUGUUCUUGUGACUUUUGUCUUGUCCCAUCAGAUGAACCACUCACAUGAUUUAUUUGGUACACCUCUCAAUAUAAGAACUUAACAUAGGUGAAUAUUAAAAUUAUCAAAUAUUACAGUUGAUAAAAACUAGGGACGGGCAAGUAUCGAUAUUGGGCCUUGUUUCAAGGUAUCUGUACUUGCAACGCAUCUUGUGGCCGUAUCACAAUCGGGAACUAGAGGCCAUACAUGUCUGACAGGUGCCCAUUAAGAUACAAUUUUGAAAUAGAAAAAGAUACAAAAAAAUCAAUUGUAUGCAAUUUUAAGGAAAAAAUGCUAUAUUCGGUUAUUUGUUUUUCUUUCAAAUCAUCUGUCAUCGGAGGAAAUUGUAUCAAAGUUACUGGUGGUAUUGGUACUUGGUAUCAGUGACUACUCAAGAGUUGAGCAAUUGUAAUGGUAUCGGUAUAAAAAAAGUGGUAUCUAAUACCUAAAAAUAACAACAAUAAUUGUAUUGUUCGAUUAUUAUGCGAAAGAAGAAUAGAUAGAUGAUGUUGUAUUAAUUCACAUGACUGCAUUGCAUCAUUCUGCGAGUUUUUCUAACACUGUAUUGAGGUACCAAUAAAACAACACCUGCAAGCAGUGUUGAAUGGGAGCACAAAGUUUGCUGUUUAUUUAUAAAAGUGAUUAACUUGGAGAAUAAUCUGAAACGUGACACAAAAUGUUUUUUUUUUUAAAGGAGCUGUUUAUCACUUUUUAAUGAGGCAUCUCCCUUUAUUUCAUGUUUAAUCGCGUGCUACUUUUUGGCCUCUGAAGGCGUUGCUACCAGACGAGAUGUUUGACACCGAUAGCCGCUCGUAGACCAUUUGAUUGACAGGCGGGCCGCUCGGCCGCCGACCUCUCUCCGCAGACGGUCAUGAACCCAAAGAGCCAGAUAUUUCUGCGGAUCACGCUCCGCUUGAGUGACAGUGUGUGCCAAGGCAUGGCGUGUGCCCCCGUUUUGUUUUGUCCAAUCUUCGUCGAGCGCGACGAUCGGCACGCUCCCCUGAUGGGAGAUACGCGUCGACUCUGCCUCGUUCUUUUGUUUUUUUUGUCUGCCUGAAAUCUUAAGUGUUUGGAUUCUUGUCUGCUCCGUUGGCACGCAAAGGUUGUCACCACCUCCACACAGCAGCUUUAUUAAAACACUUCACUUCUCCCCUCCUCCUGUGUUGAAAGCGAUGACAUUUCUGUGGUACCUCAGCCAUCUUUUAUUUCUUUUUGUCCUCUUACUUUCUGUCAGUUUUAGUCCAGAGUAUGACAGGAAAGCCAUUUGCACUUCAUGUUUAUUCACACACGAUGGUCACACUUCUCAUUUCCAAUCCAGGAAGUUGAAUCAGCUGUUUACGUGUCUUGAUGAAAACCGAAAUUUAGAAAUCUUUCACGUUUUGUGUGUUCUGCAGUUGUGGAUUGUUGGCACAGAUUUUU